rnacentral:lncRNA from 1 species
CAAUUUACAAUUCGCAAUAAAGCAUGGUUCGCAAAUAAUAUAAUAACUUUCAUGCAACAUAUAAUGCACACAUAACACAGUUCGCAUAUCAUUCAUGGCAUAGAUUACAUAAAUCAUUGUUCGCAUAUUUUAUUUAGCAUAGGGCACACAAUAGCUUAGCUUACAUACAAUACAACACAAAAUAUCACAAUACACAAUUUGGCAAAUUAAUAUCGUUCGCCAUAUUAAUACAAAUCACCAAAUUAACACAGUUCGCCAUAAUAAUAUAAUUCGC